rnacentral:rRNA from 1 species
CCAGACUCCUACGGGAGGCAGCAGUGGGGAAUCUUCCGCAAUGGACGAAAGUCUGACGGAGCAACGCCGCGUGAGUGAUGACGGCCUUCGGGUUGUAAAGCUCUGUUAAUCGGGACGAAAGGCCUUCUUGCGAAUAGUGAGAAGGAUUGACGGUACCGGAAUAGAAAGCCACGGCUAACUACGUGCCAGCAGCCGCGGUAAUACGUAGGUGGCAAGCGUUGUCCGGAAUUAUUGGGCGUAAAGCGCGCGCAGGCGGAUAGGUCAGUCUGUCUUAAAAGUUCGGGGCUUAACCCCGUGAUGGGAUGGAAACUGCCAAUCUAGAGUAUCGGAAAGGAAAGUGGAAUUCCUAGUGUAGCGGUGAAAUGCGUAGAUAUUAGGAAGAACACCAGUGGCGAAGGCGACUUUCUGGACGAAAACUGACGCUGAGGCGCGAAAGCCAGGGGAGCGAACGGGAUUAGAUACCCCGGUAGUCCUGGCCGUAAACGAUGGGUACUAGGUGUAGGAGGUAUCGACCCCUUCUGUGCCGGAGUUAACGCAAUAAGUACCCCGCCUGGGGAGUACGACCGCAAGGUUGAAACUCAAAGGAAUUGACGGGGGCCCGCACAAGAAU